rnacentral:sRNA from 1 species
UCCUAGCCCAGAUUGCAACGGCAUCCUUUUGGCGCGGCCGGAGCAAAGCGGAGGCCGUGCCAAAAGAUAUAGUGGAAAGCUGGAAAAAGC